rnacentral:rRNA from 1 species
CAGCAAUGCAUGGAGCUGACCAAUACUAAUCGGUCGAGGGCUUAUCCUAUA